rnacentral:rRNA from 1 species
AGCAGCCGCGGUAAUUCCAGCUCCAAUAGCGUAUAUUAAAGUUGUUGCAGUUAAAAAGCUCGUAGUUGAAUUUCGGGAUCAAUACGUCGGUCGUGCUUUCGGGUACGUACUGGCGUCAUUGGUUUCUCCUUUCUGACGAACCAUGAUGUCAUUAAUUUGGUGUUAUGGGGAGUUAGGACUGUUACUUUGAAAAAUUAGAGUGUUUAAAGCAGGCAUUAGCUUGAAUACAUUAGCAUGGAAUAAUGAAAUAGGACGUUCGAUCCUAUUUUGUUGGUUUCUAGGAUCAACGUAAUGAUUAAUAGGGAUAGUUGGGGGCAUUAGUAUUCAAUUGUCAGAGGUGAAAUUCUUGGAUUUAUUGAAGACUAACUACUGCGAAAGCAUUUGCCAAGGAUGUUUUCAUUAAUCAAGAACGAAAGUUAGGGGAUCGAAGACGAUCAGAUACCGUCGUAGUCUUAACCAUAAACUAUGC